rnacentral:tRNA from 1 species
GAUACGGUGGCUGAGUGGUUUAAGGCAGCCGACUGUAAAUCGGCCGGACUAAGUAGCAUUGGUCCCGUGGGUUCGAAUCCCACCCGUGUCG